rnacentral:tRNA from 1 species
GGAGAGGUGUCCGAGCGGCUUAAGGAGCACGCCUGGAAAGCGUGUAUACACAAUAACGUGUAUCGAGGGUUCGAAUCCCUCUCUCUCCG